UUGGUUGCGGGGUUAAUGGGCCAAAUUUGGCCCUCGAAAUUUGGCCAAAAUUUUGUUUAGCCCAUGGUUGGAGAUGGAUUUUGCAUUAUUUUAGGGCUAUAUUUGAGAUAUAGCUCAUAGCUGAAGAUGGCCUUAAAUUUGUCAAAGAAAAUGGGUUUAGCUUAAAAACAAAAAGGGGCCUACAUGAAUGAGAAAGGAAACAACAAUAUCAAACCCAACUUAUUGCCUAGGGGAUUGGAAUCAAACAAAACCCAACUUAUUGCCUAGUUGCCUAUUGUCCAUAUAUGACACCCUCAUUAUAGAACGAUUCAAGUUAGAAGAACAAAUCUUGUAACUCCUCCCCCCUCCCCCAAAAAAAAACACCACCAAAAAAAAAAAAGGUAAAUGUAAAAGAUAUUCUAAAAUGGACAACUCAAAAUUACCCUAAAAUUAUUGGACUUAAUCACCAAUUUUUAUUGUGUAGAUUACUUGAGCACCAAUUAAGUUUUUCUCUCUCUUCGUGUUACAUUUUCACUCAUACUUUCCUAAACACAUAUGUACAUAUGAUUUUCUUUGGUUAUAGAGAGUUCAUUCAAUUAUUUAGGGUUGGCAUUCACUUGAAGUCCAAACUUUACUAUUUCCA
rnacentral:lncRNA from 1 species